rnacentral:rRNA from 1 species
GAUGAACGCUGGCGGCGUGCCUAAUACAUGCAAGUCGAGCGAACGGACGAGAAGCUUGCUUCUCUGAUGUUAGCGGCGGACGGGUGAGUAACACGUGGAUAACCUACCUAUAAGACUGGGAUAACUUCGGGAAACCGGAGCCAAUACCGGAUAAUAUUUUGAACCGCAUGGUUCAAAAGUGAAAGACGGUCUUGCUGUCACUUAUAGAUGGAUCCGCGCUGCAUUAGCUAGUUGGUAAGGUAAUGGCUUACCAAGGCAACGAUGCAUAGCCGACCUGAGAGGGUGAUCGGCCACAUUGGAACUGAGACACGGUCCAGACGCCUACGGGAGGCAGCAGUAGGGAAUCUUCCGCAAUGGGCGAAAGCCUGACGGAGCAACGCCGCGUGAGUGAUGAAGGUCUUCGGAUCGUAAAACUCGGUUAUUAGGGAAGAACAUAUGUGUAAGUAACUGUGCACAUCUUGACGGUACCUAAUCAGAAAGCCACGGCUAACUACGUG